rnacentral:lncRNA from 1 species
UCAGUAGUCACCGGCUCCGCUACCUACCAGAGAGGACUGAGUCAACCACCCUGAAACCAUCCCCCUCUCACUGAGAGCAAAGCCUCGUACUUAAAACAUUCACACAGCAAUAUUAAGGUAAACAUAUUUCAUGCAAAAGCAAUUCCGAAUUUUUUAUUUUAGAAAAAAAAAAAAACAACAUAACAAAACUGUAAGAAAACGAAGAGCGAGAGACUGUAGAGGAUAGAGGCCCAAACAGAAACAGAGAAAUCUAUAGAAAGAGAUGGCCCAGAUCAGAUAUGCCUUCAAAUCGGACACAACCCCAGGGCUGCAACAACAAAAGGUUGCCUCGCCAAAAAGUUGAGUAUUUCUCCUCGAGUCUGACUUUUCAGGCUCACUGGAUAUAUCAUCAUAGCCUCGCCAGUACCAGACAGCCACUCUCACACACACUAGAAAGAAAGAAGAUAUACUGGUAUAAGGGCUGUUGCCAACAUAAGAAACGUAAUUAGUAGUCACCGGCUCCGCUACCUAUCAGAGAGGACUGAGUCAACCACACUGAAACCAUCUGUCUCUCACUGAGAGCAAAGCCCCAUUCACAUAAACAUAUUCCAUGCAAAAGCAAUUGCGAAUUUAUUAUUUAAAAAAAAAUAACAGAACAAAAAUCGAAGAAAAUGAAGAGCAAGAGAUUAUAGGGGAUAGAGGAACAAACAGAAACAGAGAAAUCUGUUGAAAGAGAUGGCUCAGAUCAGGUAUGCCUUCAAAUCGGACAGGACAGAAACACCACAACACCAGGGCUGCAACAACAAAAGGUUGCCUCGCCAAGAAAUUGAGCUGUCUUUUUAGGCUCACUGAAUAUAUCAUCAUAGCCUCGGCAGUCGCCAGACAGCCACUCACACGCACGAGGAAGACAGCAGAUAUAUUGGUAUAAGGGCUGUUGGCAACAUAAGAAACGCAAUCAGUAGUCACCGGCUCCGCUACCUACCAGAGAGGACUGAGUCAACCACCCUGAAACCAACCGCCUCUCAGUGAGAGCAAAGCCUCGUACUUAACCGUUCGCUCAAAAAUCUUAAGGUAAACAUAUUUCAUAAGAAGAUAUACUGGUAUAAGGGCUGUUGCCAACAUAAGAAACGCAAUCAGUAGUCACCGGCUCCGCUACCUAUCAGAGAGGGCUGAGUCAACCACACUGAAACCAUCUGUCUCUCACUGAGAGCAAAGCCCCAUUCACAUAAACAUAUUCCAUGCAAAAGCAAUUGCGAAUUUAUUAUUUAAAAAAAAAUAACAGAACAAAAAUCGAAGAAAAUGAAGAGCAAGAGAUUAUAGGGGAUAGAGGAACAAACAGAAACAGAGAAAUCUGUUGAAAGAGAUGGCUCAGAUCAGGUAUGCCUUCAAAUCGGACAGGACAGAAACACCACAACACCAGGGCUGCAACACCAAAAAAUUGAGUAUUUCUCCCUGAGUCUGACUUUUCAGACUCACUGAAUUUAUCAUCAUAGCCUCAGCAAUCGCCAGACAGCCACUCACACGCACGAGGAAGACAGCAGAUAUAUUGGCAUAAGGGCUGUUGGCAACAUAAGAAACGCAAUCAGUAGUCACCGGCUCCGCUACCUACCAGAGAGGACUGAGUCAACCACCCUGAAACCAUCCCCCUCUCACUGAGAGCAAAGCCUCGUACUUAAACCGUUCGCUCAAAAAUCUUAAGGUAAACAUAUUUCAUACAAAAACAAGUGCGAAUUUUAUUUUAGAAAAAAAAAAUAACAGAACAAAAUUGUAAGAAAAUGAAGAGCAAGAGAUUGUAGAGGAUAGAGGCCCAAAUAGAAACAGAGAAAUCUGUAGAAAGUGAAGCUCAUAUCAGAUAAGCCUUCAAAUAGAACAGGACAGAAACACCACAACACCAGAGCUGCAACAUCAAAAGGUUGCCUCGCCAAGACAUUGAGUAUUUCUCUUCGAAUCUGACUUUUCAGGCUCACUGAAUCAUCAUAGCCUCCCCAGUUGCCAGACAGCCACUCACACACACGAGGAAGAGAACAGAUAUAUUGGUAUAAGGGUUGUUGGCAACAGAAGAAACGUAAUCAGUAGUCACCGGCUCCGCUACCUAUCAGAGAGGACUGAGUGAAACACCCUCAAAACAACUGCCUCUCACUUAGAGCAAAGCCUGGUACUUAAACCAUUCACACAAGCAAUCUUAUGGUAAACAUAUUUCAUGCAAAAGCAAUUGCGAAUUUUUUAUUUUAGAAAAAAAAAAUAACAGAACCAAAAUAGAAGAAAAUGAAGAGCGAGAGAUUGUAGAGGAUGGAGGCCCAAACAGAGCAGAGAAAUCUGUAGAAAGAGAAGCUCAGAUCAGAUAUGCUUUCAAAUCGGACAGCACAGAAACACACAACACCAGGGCUGCAACAACAAAAGGUUGCCUCCCCGAAAAAUUGAGUAUUUCUCCUCAUGUCUGACUUUUCAGGCUCGCUGAAUCGUCAUAGCCUCGCCAGUCACCAGAUAGCGACUCACACACACCAGGAAGAGAGCAGAGAUAUGGUAUAAGAGCUGUUUGACACAUAAGAAACGUAAUCAGUAGUCACAGGCUCCGCUACCUAUCAGAGAGUUCCGAGUGAACCACCCUGAAACCAACUGCCCCUCACUGAGAGCAAAGCCUCGUACUUAAAACAUUCACACAGCAAUCUUAAGGUAAACAUAUUUUACGCAAAAGCAAUUGCGAAUUUUUUAUUUUAGAAAAAAAAUGACAAAACAAAAAUCAAAGAAAAUGAAGGGCCAGAGAUCGUAGAGGAUGGAGGCUCAGAUUCACCUUUAAUCAGACAAGAAAAGGAACAAAAAGAUCAUGACUGCAAAAGAUGGAGCUCUCUAUUUGAAAAAAGAAAAAAGGUCUUUCUCAAAUAAAAUCUCCGUACUGCCCCGCCAACGAUCAAGCUAUUCCUUAAUGUCUUCCUUUUGCACUCUAAAACCCAAAAAUCGUCACAGCCUCUUUAUAAG